rnacentral:lncRNA from 7 species
GGGACCGCGCAUCAGGAUCGUCUCCCCAAUAUUGUCGCUGCAACAGACUGCCGACCCCCGUCUUGAGAUCCUGCUUCCACCUCAACCACCCUGGUCUUCUAGCUCAGACUUCACCGUUGGGUUAUAAAUCGCAAGCGCUGCAGCCUCCUCGUCCUCCCAACCCUAGAGUUCUAGACGUCGAGCUCACCCAGGACCUGACUCGUGGAAAAGCAGAGAGGAGCAUUGCCACCUGGUUACUCGCCCAUGCUGUCGUUCUGAGCGCAUGGUCGAGUCAAGGUGCAUCGCGGGUGGUUGGUGAAGUCGUUCAUGGGCUCGACGGCAAGGAUUGACCAUUGGGGCGGUGGAGAUUGCUCACCGGAACCACUGCGCCGUCGUGGAGCUGCGUUCCAUCAUGGGCGAUUGUCUCUACGCCCGAAUCCGCGG